GGGCCGGAAGCCGCAGGGAUGCGUGGCGCAUGUGGAAAGGGACUUAGACGACCGGGCGUCUCACCGAGUGACGAGGGACGGAGACAGGGACAGAGAGAAGGGCCUCGGUCAAAUCCGGCCACCACCAUGCAUGCAUCUUCUGCGAUUCCGAUUCCAAUUCACGCACUUCCAACGGGCAAGCAAAUCGCGACUCCUAGUGCAUCUUUUAAACAUAAGGUUGAGAUAGAAAUGUGAGUGCGAGCGCAAGCAAGCCAACGGGCACGGGCGGUUGCGGUGAGCGCCCAAAAUGAGUUUAAAAGCGAUCGCCUAGUUGCCGCUUCAUUCAAAUCGCGACUCCUUCGUCGAACAACAGUCUUCGCAGGCAAUGAGCUUCAACUCCACUCGCUCUGCCAACUCUGGAUCCAGAUCGAAGCGAAGCUUCAAUUCGCUCUCUUCAAGCCCUUCGAGUAACGGCAACAAAAAGAAGAAGACUACUCAGAAAACCCUAGGCAUGGCUUGGGGUUCCAAUUCUGGUUCUUCCUCCCGCUCAUCCUUUCGCAUUUCGCCUUUCUCCGAUCCCGCCAGGAGCGGCGAGGGUAUAUGCUCAAGCAUGGAAGACGCCUUGGGAACUAUUUUUCAAGGCAUCAUAUUACUCAUAUCAUAUGUAGUAACCUUCCAGACAGUAAAAUCAAGAACCUGAGGUCCUUUAGUGGUGGAUUAGCAGUAGUGAAACCUUCAUGGCUGAUGGAUUCUAUUGCUGCAAAUAAACUGUUAAGUUAUUGCUAGUGAAGCUCAUAACCAACCAAAGAUAUGUGCUUGUUUUGUUUUGGAAAGCAGCCUGGUCUCCAGUGAUUUUGAAGCUUGUGUGACAGGUCAAAUAGAACCUAAAUUGGAGGAUCCUUUUGCAAAAGCUUGCACAGAUUAAGAAGACUAAUUUAUCUGAACCAUGUGGAUCCAUGCAACACUCAGAGCCAACGGGCGAGGAUGACAGCGUGGGCAAGAAUAUUGCAACAGCAGUCAAUCAGGGGCUUGUGUGCAUUGAAGGAGAAUAUAGUGAAGGGAAGUUAGAUAAAGGAAGUGAUGUUUGUAUAAUUGGUGGGAACACAGCUGAAAUUCAUAAUCAAGCUAGCCUAUCUCAACCUUAUGUUUCAGGGUAAGCCUGUUGCUAUUUUCCAUUCUGACAAUCCACGCGGAACUAGUGAAAUUUCAUCUCUAGACUACCUUGCUCGUGGUUUUGGUUGGUUUCUUGAUAUAAUUACCCCAGCUAUUUGGCCUGGGUUUCUCUUUUUUGUUCAUUAAUUUUUUUUUUCUAGUCUUCGGAGUACGGGGUGGAAUGUUUCUUAGAGAUGCCAAGGCUCUUUGUCCUCACCUUGUCAUUUUUGCUUACAACUUUGAAGCAUACAACGAGGUAAAGAGUUGACAUUUAAUUUGAUUGGCACCUAAACUGCUUGUAUGGGAAGGGGUUAAUGUUUUUCUUUUGCAUCUCUUGUACACCAUGUUAUUCUAUCAGGUUAGGUUUGGUGGAGUUACAGUCUUUGGAUAAGUUGCAGGUGGUUGAUCAGUUUUAUAACAUUCUACAUAAGUAUUGCAAAAGAGUGCAGGUUCUAUUGUAUUUAGUCUACGUGUCAAAGUUGUUCCAAUUGUUUUUAACACUUUCUAUUACUGUGGACCAAUUACAAUUUUGUCAGUUUUGUAUAUUUGUAAUUUUUUUUAAGGAUCUAAGCAGUUCGUUAAUUAUUUUUAUUUGGAGUUUCAGUAGUUUUAGUUAUUAGUUAUACUCAUGAUCAUUUCAAAAUUCAUAACCAUGUGGAAUGUCAUGUUAUUAGUUUCUCAUGAUUGACAAUCUAGAACUUUCGUCUUUCAAAUUCAACGAGUUCACCAACCUGGGAUGAAAAUUGCCGUUUUACAUACGCUUACUAAUUUCUUAUGCAUGAAACUUUUUGCAAUAAUCAGAUUAUGAAUUACUAAAUUACUUGAUGAGGCUAUGCGCCCUUAUUGAGCUUUGAUUUUCUAGAGCUCUGGGCAACAUUUUUUUUGCACUUGGAGAGACCGGUAGCUCAGAUAUUUUCCCAGUUUUAGGUACACAAGUUCUAGCGUUAAUGUUUCUAGUCGAAGAACAUCCAUAAUCCAUGCCGACAUGGUAAUGUCUGCACUCAAAAGUUUUUAAGUGCUAUGUUGCAGCCCAUAUAUUUUAAGUUAUCCUAAACAGUUCAUUUGUUAUGGUGUUUAUUUGGGGGCUAUCUUUUCCCCCUCCCUUUUACAUGUUAAUUUUAUUGUUGGAAAAUUCUGCAAACCAAAAACCUAAGUUGUUUUUUAAAAUAGUUAAAAGUCUUGGUACACUUCUUCAAGAAUUCUUAUUACAAGCAAAACGAAAUUUAAAGUCAAUUUGAAGAAAAUUGAAAAAUUCUAACUUGAUAUAUCUUUGGCUUUUUGGUCACAACCUUUUAAUUUGAUAUCCACUGGAUUUGAAUGAUCAUAAUCUGGUGUAUUGGGCUAUGUUGAUAUAAUGUUUGAGGGUUUUGAGUCUCAAUUUUCUGUUCCUUGAGGAUAGAUGGUAAAUUGGAUUAUUUGUUACGGAAAAUUUGUAUAGUGUAUAUGGAAAUAUGAAAUUAAGCUUGUUAGCAAAUUAGAUAGUUUUUGAGUUAUAGCAUCCAAAUAAUUUAAUACCCAUAUAAUAAUGCUUCAUUUUUAUUUUAGAUUUGCGUAAGUGAUUUUCCAAAUAAAUCAUGUGUCAAAUUAUGUGUGACUAUUUUGUUUAUUUCUUUCAUGUGAUUUUGGAUUACUACUUAUACUAUAAUUAUGAAUGUGGUAUUUGCGGAAAAAUCCAUGACAUCAAUUGCAAUUUUCACUUGGCAUUAGAACAUACUAUAAACUUUGCAAUGUCCUUGUGUGUGGUUCUUUUCUUGGACUGUUUUUUUUCUUAAUGGUUAUUAGGAACCAUUUGAAAUUACAGGAUAAGUCUGUUUUCAUUUGCCUUUCUGACAAUCCGCAUAUAACUGUUGGAAUUACACUUGCAAACUACCCUGGUUGUGGUUAUGGUUGGUUUCCUGGCAUAAUUACCCCAUCUAUUUGGCUUGGUUUUCUCUUUUUUGUUUGUUAAUAUUUUUUCUACUCUCAGGAGAAUAGGCUCGAAUGUUUCUUAGAGAUGCCAAGGCUCUUUGUCCUCACCUUGUCAUUUUUGCUUUCAAAUCUGAAGCAUACGAGGAGGUAAGGAGUUGACAUUUAAUGUGAUUGGUACCUAGACUGCUUGUAUGUGAAGGGGUCAACGUUUUUCUUUUGCAUCUCUUGUACACCCGGUCAUUCUAUCAAGUUAGGUUUGAUGGAGUCAGAGUCUUUGGAUAAGUUGUAGGUGGCUAAUAAGUUUUAUAACAUUCUACAUAAGAAUUGCAAAAGAGUGCAGGUUUUGUUGUAUAUAGUCUACAUGUCAAAGUUGUUCCAAUUGCUUUUAAGACUUUCUAUGACUAUGGACGGAUCGAAAUUUUAUCAAUUUGUAUAUUUGUAGCUUUUUUUUUUAAGGAUUUAAGCUGUUCGUUAAUUAUUUUUAUUUGAAGUUUUAAUAGUUUAGUUAUUAGUUAUACCUAUGGCCUUUAAAAAAUUCUUAACCAUGUGGAUUUUCAUGUUACUAGUUUUUCACAAUUGACACUCUAGAACUUUAAUCUUUCAGAUUCACUUGGUUCACCAACUUGAAAUGAAAAUUGCCAUGUUACCUACACUUACUAAUUUGCUAUGCAUGCAACUUUCUACAAUGAUCAUAUUAUAGAUUACUAAAUUACUUGAUGAGGCUAUACACUCUUAUUGAACUUUUAUUGUAUAGUGCUCUAGGCUACAUUUCAUUGGCACUUGGAGAAACUGGUACUGCAGACGUUUUCCCAAUUUUAGGUUCACAAGUUCCAACGUUAAUGCUUCUACUUGAAGAACAUCCAUAAUCCACGCGGACAUGGUAACUCUGCACUCAAAGUUUGUAAGUGCUAUAUAGUAGUCUGUCUCUUUUAAUUUAUCCUCAAUAGUUCAUUUGUAUUGAUGUUCAUUUGGUGUUAAUCACAAUCAUCGUUGACAUCGGCCAGAUGAAGAGAUGCAAUGCAAUCUUUGAUGUAGAAUUUGUGCAUCCCUUUUUGGGGCUAUCUUUUCCCCCCUUUCUUAUACAUGUUAAUUUUGCUAUUUGAAAAUUCUGCAAACCAAAAACAUAAGUUUUUUUUUUUUUUCAAUUUUUUAAUUAUUGUUUUAGGGACGAUUUUAAAAUAGUUAAAGUCAAGGUACAAGUCUUCAAGAAUUCCUACUACAGGCAAAAAGAAAUUUAAAGUCAAUUUGAAGAAACUGGAAAAAUUCUAACUUGAUAUAUCUUUGAUUUUUUGGUCACAACCUUUUAAUUUGAUUUCCAAUGGAUUUGAAUGAUCAUAUGAUUUGGUGCAUUGGGCUGUGUUGGUACUUAAAUCCAUAAUAUUGAGGGUUUUGAGUCUAAUUUUUUUUUUUUGAGGAUAGAUGGUAAAUUGGUUUAUUUGUUAUAGCAAAUUUGUAUUGUGUGACAUGGAAACAUGAAAUUAAAAUUGUUAGCACAUUUUAUAGUUUUUGAGUUAUGGGUGUCCUAAUAAUUUAUUAUCCAUAUAAUAAUGCUUCAUAUGAUUUUAGAUUUGCUUCAGCCUAUGAUUUUCCAAAUAAAUCAUGUGUCAAAUUAUGUGCGACUGUUUUGUCUAUUUCUUUCAUGUGGUUUUGGUUUUACUACUUAUACUAUAAUUAUGCAUGUGGUAUUCUUUGAAAAAUCCAUGACGUCAAAUGCAAUUUUCAAUUGGUAUUAGAACAUAUUGCAGAGUUUGCAAUGUUUCUGUGGGUGGUUCUUUUCCAAGACUUUUUUUUUUUUUUUUUUUUGUCUUAGUGGUUAUUUUAAACCAUUGGGAAUUACAUGAUAAGGCUGUUGCUAUCUACCAUUCUGACAAGCUACAAGUAACUGCUGAAAUUUUUAUCUACAAACUACGUUGCUCAUGUGUUUGUGGUUAGGGUUCUUGACAUAAUUUCCCUCGCUAUUUUACUUGGGUUUCUCUUUUCUAUUCAUUAAUAUUUUUUUUACUCUUAGGAGUACAGGCUGGAAUGUUUCUUUAAGAUACUAAGGCUCUUUGUCCUCACCUUGUCAUCUUUCCUUACAAUUUUGAAGCAUACAAGGAGGUAAAGAGUUGACAUUUAAUUUGAUUGGCAUCUAAAUUGCUUCUAUGGGAGGGGGGUCAAUGUUGUUCUUUUCCAUUUGAUGUACACCAUGUCAUUCUAUCUGGUUAGGUUUGGUGGAGUUACAGUCUUUGGAUAACUUGCAAUUGGAUGAUCAAUUUUAUAAUAUUCUAUAUAAGCAUUACAAAAGAGUGCUGGUUCUGUUGUAUAUAAUCUAUGCGUCAUAGUUGUUCCAAUUGCUUUUAACACUUUCUAUGACUGUGGGCCAAUUACAAGUUUAUCAGUUUUGCAUAUUUGUAGUUUUUAAGGAUUUUUUUAUUUGGUGUAUGUAACACAGCAAUUUUCAUUUUAGGUUAGUGAACCAGGUGAAUCUGAAUGAUGAAAGGUCUAGAGUGUCAAUCGUGAAAAACUAAUAACAUGACACUCCACAUGGUUAUGAAUUUUGCAAACCAAAACCAUAAGUUGUUUUUUUUUUUUUAUUUCUAUUUUAGAGUCAAGUGUUCAAAAAUUCUGUUACAAGCAAAAAGAAAUUUAAAGUCAAUUUGAAGAAAAUGGAAAAUUCUUACUUGAUAUAUCUUUGGUUUUUUGUUCACUACCUUUUAAUUUGAAAUCCACUAGAUUUGAGGAAUCAUAUGAUUUGGUGUAUUGAACUAUGUUGAUACUUAACUUGAAUCUAUAAUGUUGAGGGUUGUUAGUGUCAAUUUUUAUUUUUUUAAGGAUAGAUGGUAAAUUCUUUUAUUUGUUUAGCAAAUUUGUAUAGAGUGACCUUGAAACAUGAAAUUAAGCUCGUUAGAAAAUUUGAUAGUUUUUGUGUCACAGCCUAGGAAGCCACCUUCAAAAGGUUGUUGCCUAGCGCAAACUAAUAUACUUAGGAUCUCCCCCCUAACGGACCGAUGUGUGAUUUGGCACGUUACAAUAACACACUCCCCAUCCCCCUCCUGGGAUGUGCAGUGUCCCCACUGCAUGGCCCCCGCCAUCGCCAGACUAGCAGGUAAACUCUAAUACCACUUGUCACAACCUAGGCACCACCUUCUCAAAGGUUCAUGUGAUUUUAGAUUUGCAUGUAAUAAUGCUUCAUGUGAUUUUAUAUUUGCAUCAGUUUAUGAUUUUCCAAAAGAAUCAUGUGUCAAUUUAUGUGUUACUAUUUUCUUUCUUUCUUUCAUGUGAUUUUGGAUUACUACUUAUACUAUAAUUAUGCAUGUGGUAUUCUUGGAAAAAUCCAUGACAUUAACUGUAAUUUUCAAUUUGUAUUAGAAGAUACAAAUUGGGUCAUGAUAGCUUUUUACAUUAGUGGGCAUGUUCUUCGGACUGAAUGGUUGGGAAAUGAGAGUGCCUCUGUACUACACAGACAAGGAACUUUUGCCAUUAUAGUGAUUGUAAGAUGUUUUGCUCAGGUUCUCAGGACUGAAUACUUGGGAAAUGAGAGAGCUCAUAUCCUAUACAGGGAAGUAGCUCUUCGUUCUUACUUUCUUAGUGACCCAAGUAUGGUAUUUUUGUACUUAUUUGUCGAGGGUGGAUCAAAUGAUUCUUUAAUGGAAAAACCCUUGGGGUUUUUUUGUUGCCUAACGUCUGGCUUUAUGAAUGGGUUCUUUUUAAGCAAUUGGAAUUGCCCUUUAAUUUCAAGCCACUUAGACUUGAUUAUGAUCUCAUCCCAAGAAAUUGUGACCUGUUUCUUUUUUCUUUUGUAGCUCAGUUUCCCUAACACUUCAGGCAUAGUUAUUUUCUUCUACUAGGGAAGGGUUGUCCUCGGUUGAGGAAGAACCUGUUUAUUCACGCCAUCCACCAGGUGAAGUAUGAGAUUUUACGCUCUUAUGAGAAAGUUGAUGAGAUGCUAAAGUUUAUUUUAAAGAGGUUCUCAGGACUGAAUACUUGGAAAAUGAGAGAGCUCCUAUCCUACACAGGGAGGUAGCUCUUCGUUCUUAUUUUCUCAAGGACCCAGGAGGUGGUUACACAGAGCAGAGAAAAAAUACGAUCGAUUUGGGAAGAGCUGCAAGAGGAUAUCGCAGCAUCUAAUGAUGGAGUUCUAAGGGAAUUGGCCAGGCAGAGGGAGACUAUGGAUCAGCAGAUGCUAUCUGCAUUACCUCAAUUCCUGUUGCCACCGGAGUUUCCUCCCCGAGAAGAGCCGAAGAUGGGAUCAUCGGGACCUGGCAUAUUGCUGAGACCAUAGGAAGUUUCGGAGGCGGGAGAACCACAAUUCGAAGAGACACGUGAUCAGGUGGAGAUUGUAGCAGAUUCGAGGAUAAAUGAGGCAUGAAAUGGCACUUAGCAGGGUGCAUGAAGAAUGAAAUGUAUGUUAUGUAGCCCAUGUAUUUAAGUUCUGCUACUUUAGAUUCUGAACGUUAUGAGAAAUGUUGAUUUAUAUUCUUAUGGCUAAUGAAAAUGCAAGAACAGAUUUAUGAUUAUUGUUAAGAUAUCAGGUUUCGAUCAUUGCUUCCGCAUUUGAUAUGUAUAGUGAUUAUCUUUCGAGAUUAAUGUAUGAGAAUUCUGGGACGGAUUCGAGGAAUGAUGUGGUUUAGCUUUAGUGUUUGAAAGAAAAAAAAUUUAUUGUCCCCGAAUUGUCCCAAUUUAUAAACGCGCUCGGGAAAGCGGGGCGUUACAACACUCAUGUAAGAGAGUCCUUUUUAGCUUCGUAGCAGAGACAUGGAUUUGGGUUAUGCUAAGUUCUGUCAUGUCGUGUGAAGGUAAAUGUUAGUGACUUUGGUGGUUGGCCUUGCAUGAUAUUAUGAAAUGUCUGUAUGAACAAGUAGAGAUGAUGUAAAACCACAUGAGUUAACAGCCAUGUGAGAAGUUGAGUUUAUGAUUGACUAAGGCCAAAAGGAGCUGACAUCAAACUAAAAUUUUGCUAUAAGGUCAAUCGUGAAAACAGAAUGUAAAUACGAUUGUCUAUUUAGUGGA